CUCUCUAGCUAUACAGGGAGAGUAGGUUUUUUUCUCUCUCUAAAAAAAUCUCAGAUCUAUAUAUGUACAGAAAUAGAUAUACGUUUCCAUGAGUUUGCAUUUGCGGCAGCCUCUCAUUCGCUUGGUGCAGGUCGGGACCUCUCUCGCCGGCGACAAUGGCGGUAGCUGACGGCGACGGCAGCGUACCGGUAAAAACUUUUUUUUAAAAAUGUUGUUUAUGAUGACGUUUGGGUCCCGCCUUGCAUCAACUGAAUCGGAGACUGCGGUGAAUUUUAUUUCGAUGAAAUCAGCUUUGUUAUGAAUCGAUCUAAUAUCUACAGCUUGUUUCACAUGAGGUAAUAGUAGCUGUUUUCCUUGGACCGACUUUAAGACAUGAAGCAAGGAUGGACUAUGUGUGGUCGAAGGUAACAUUCCAAGGAUACAAGGCCACUAGCAGAGGAUGGUGUGUACUAAAUUAGUUACCAUGUGAAACUGAUACUACAAGGUGGACUCGGAAAAUGUAAAAUGUGACCCCUCCUGUUUCUUGUAGUUCCAUUUUGUUCACAUUUGUAUGUAACCUUUAAGCCACAUAUAUUUGGUUGCCUAAUGCUGUGAAUGAAGAAGUUUUUGCUGUA